AUUGAACGCUGGCGGAAUGCUUUACACAUGCAAGUCGAACGGUAGAGGGGGCAACCCCUCGAGAGUGGCGAACGGGUGAGUAAUAUAUCGGAACGUGCCCAGUCGUGGGGGAUAACGUAGCGAAAGUUACGCUAAUACCGCAUACGAUCUACGGAUGAAAGCGGGGACCUUCGGGCCUCGCGCGAUUGGAGCGGCCGAUAUCAGAUUAGGUAGUUGGUAGGGUAAAAGCCUACCAAGCCUGCGAUCUGUAGCUGGUCUGAGAGGACGACCCAGCCACACUGGAACUGAGACACGGUCCAGACUCCUACGGGAGGCAGCAGUGGGGAAUUUUGGACAAUGGGCGAAAGCCUGAUCCAGCAAUGCCGCGUGCAGGACGAAGGCCUUCGGGUUGUAAACUGCUUUUGUACGGAACGAAAAGGUAGCUCCUAAUACGAGCUGCCGAUGACGGUACCGUAAGAAUAAGCACCGGCUAACUACGUG
rnacentral:rRNA from 1 species